rnacentral:rRNA from 1 species
GACGAACGCUGGCGGCGUGCUUAACACAUGCAAGUCGAACGAAGAGCGAUGGAAGCUUGCUUCUAUCAAUCUUAGUGGCGAACGGGUGAGUAACGCGUAAUCAACCUGCCUUUCAGAGGGGGACAACAGUUGGAAACGACUGCUAAUACCGCAUACGAUCUAAUCUCGGCAUCGAGGAUAGAUGAAAGGUGGCCUCUACAUGUAAGCUAUCACUGAAGGAGGGGAUUGCGUCUGAUUAGCUAGUUGGAGGGGUAACGGCCCACCAAGGCGAUGAUCAGUAGCCGGUCUGAGAGGAUGAACGGCCACAUUGGGACUGAGACACGGCCCAGACUCCUACGGGAGGCAGCAGUGGGGAAUCUUCCGCAAUGGACGAAAGUCUGACGGAGCAACGCCGCGUGAGUGAUGACGGCCUUCGGGUUGUAAAGCUCUGUUAAUCGGGACGAAAGGCCUUCUUGCGAAUAGUGAGAAGGAUUGACGGUACCGGAAUAGAAAGCCACGGCUAACUACGUG